UUGCGUAGGUGGUUUGUUAAGUAGGUAGUGAAAUCUGGCGGCUCAACCGUACAGGCUAUUACCUAAACUGGCAAACUCGAGAAUGGUAGAGGUAACUGGAAUUUCUUGUGUAGGAGUGAAAUCCGUAGAUAUAAGAAGGAACACCGAUGGCGUAGGCAGGUUACUGGACCAUUUCUGACACUGAGGCACGAAAGCGUGGGGAGCGAACG
rnacentral:rRNA from 1 species